rnacentral:rRNA from 1 species
GUCCACGCUGUAAACGAUGAUUACUAGGUGUGGGGGACUGACCCCUUCCGUGCCGCAGUUAACACAAUAAGUAAUCCACCUGGGGAGUACGACCGCAAGGUUGAAACUCAAAGGAAUUGACGGGGGCCCGCACAAGCAGUGGAGUAUGUGGUUUAAUUCGAAGCAACGCGAAGAACCUUACCAGGUCUUGACAUCGUAUGCAUAGUCUAGAGAUAGAUGAAAUCCCUUCGGGGACAUAUAGACAGGUGGUGCAUGGUUGUCGU